rnacentral:ncRNA from 2 species
AAUAAAAACCAGGGGAGUUUCGAUUGAGAAGCUGAGAGUAAGGUAGCCCUUAGACCCUUUUAACCUGUUGGAUCAUGCCAGUGUAGGAAGUGUUGAAGAUGUAUUUU